rnacentral:rRNA from 1 species
AGGAUAAACGCUGGCGGCGUGCCUAACACAUGCAAGUCGAACGUCUCUUCUUUCGGGAAGAGGAGUGGCGGACGGGUGAGGAACACGUGGGAACCUGCCCUUCAGUGAGGAAUACCGGCGAGAAAUCGCCGACAAGACCGCAUAGCCCUCUCUGGUGAGAGCCAGAGAAGGAAAGCCUCGCAAGAGGCGCUGGAGGAGGGGCCUGCGUCCGAUUAGCUAGUUGGUGGGGUAAUGGCCCACCAAGGCGACGAUCGGUAGCUGGUCUGAGAGGACGACCAGCCACACUGGAACUGAGACACGGUCCAGACUCCUACGGGAGGCAGCAGUGGGGAAUAUUGGACAAUGGGGGCAACCCUGAUCCAGCCAUGCCGCGUGGGUGAAGAAGGCCUUCGGUGUAAGCCCUUUGUACGGAGAAAGCUUGGGGUUAAUAACCUUGAGUCAUGACGGUACCGUAAGAAUAAGCACCGGCUAACUUCGUGCCAGCAGCCGC